CAGUCGCCGCGGUAAUACGGAGGAUCCAAGCGUUAUCCGGAAUCAUUGGGUUUAAAGGGUCCGUAGGCGGUCUUGUAAGUCAGUGGUGAAAUCCCAUCGCUCAACGGUGGAACGGCCAUUGAUACUGCAGGACUUGAAUUAUUGGGAAGUAACUAGAAUAUGUAGUGUAGCGGUGAAAUGCUUAGAGAUUACAUGGAAUACCAAUUGCGAAGGCAGGUUACUACCAAUUGAUUGACGCUGAUGGACGAAAGCGUGGGUAGCGAACAGGAUUAGAUACCCCCGUAGUCCCUGUCUCUUAUAU
rnacentral:rRNA from 1 species